GAUGAACGCUGGCGGCGUGCCUAAUACAUGCAAGUCGAGCGAAUGGAUUAAGAGCUUGCUCUUAUGAAGUUAGCGGCGGACGGGUGAGUAACACGUGGGUAACCUGCCCAUAAGACUGGGAUAACUCCGGGAAACCGGGGCUAAUACCGGAUAACAUUUUGAACCGCAUGGUUCGAAAUUGAAAGGCGGCUUCGGCUGUCACUUAUGGAUGGACCCGCGUCGCAUUAGCUAGUUGGUGAGGUAACGGCUCACCAAGGCAACGAUGCGUAGCCGACCUGAGAGGGUGGUCGGCCACACUGGGACUGGGAAACGGCCCAGACUCCUACGGGAGGCAGCAGUAGGGAAUCUUCCGCAAUGGACGAAAGUCUGACGGAGCAACGCCGCGUGAGUGAUGAAGGCUUUCGGGUCGUAAAACUCUGUUGUUAGGGAAGAACAAGUGCUAGUUGAAUAAGCUGGCACCUUGACGGUACCUAACCAGAAAGCCACGGCUAACUACGUGCCAGCCGCCGCAGUAA
rnacentral:rRNA from 1 species